ensembl:lncRNA
CUCAAAAUAACAGUACACAUUCCAAUUGUGAUGAGGUUCAGUGACUGUGUGCCUCUGCUUACUUGCAGAUGACCAGCUCACUACCCUAGUAGUGGAGAACAGGCUGGUCUCCCAGGCAGCAGCCUUUCAGCCCAGUACCAUCAUGGUCAAAGGUCAAUAGCAUAUUUUCACCCAUGGAAUGUCCAGAUAAAUAAAUGCCUGAAUGUACAAAAUAAAUAAUAAUCUAUCUCACCCUUCCCACACUUCUCCACUAAUUUCCCUCCGUCUCCUCUAUUGCCGGGGGAAGAGACCCUAUCCCUGUAAACUGGAGGUUACGGUUACUAUCCGAUCCCGCUAAGGGUGGUCCUUUCUCAGGAUUUUCUACAGUGGCCUAUAUUGGUCAAACGAUUGUCGAAAAUUAUGCCCUGUGGUCAGAGUACUGCUGUUCAACACCACAUGGGAGAGGGACUGCUGACAUGCUAAAACUCCUAGUGCUUUGCCAGUUUGAUUUGACUGUGUUUUGUCCCAACAUCACUGAAACAUCACUGAAACUGUUACAGAAAACAGAUCAGCAGAAUUUCAAUGUGUUGGUGGAGAACAUGCUCACCCGUUGCCUGGACAACGAGAGCAGCUAGCAGAGCCUGAGUGGGAGAGAGAAGCAGCAGGGAUCUGAGUCAGAGCUGCUGAUACAGGACAAGUUCUCCUUACUGGCCAAGACCAGGAGACACACCCCUGCAUCCUCAGCGCCCUCCAGUGGAUCAGUCAGGGAAAGGACACUGUGCUGGCUACUGCAUGGAGCCACUAUCUCAAAUCAAAUCAAAUUGUAUUUGUCACAUGCGCCAAAUAUAACAGGUGUAGGUAGACCUUACUGUGAAAUGCUUACAUACAAGCCCUUAAGAAGCAAUUCAGUUUAAGAAAUAGAGUUUAGAAAAUAUUUACUAAAUUAACUAAAGUGAAAAAAAAAUGGGAAAAAAAAGUAACAGAAGAAGCUUAACAAUAACGAGGCUAUAUACAGGGGGUACCGGUACCGAGUCAAUGUGCCAGGGGUACAGGUUAGUCGAGGUCAUUUGUAAAGUGACUAUGCAUAGAUAAUAUACAGCGGGUAGCAGCUGUAAAUAGUCUGGGUGACUAAUUGUUCAGCAGUCUUCCAAGUACAACCCAGUGUCAUGGCUAAAACAGCACCACUAAGAGAGGCAGCCCACGUCUCUGGCCUGGUCACAGGUAGUCUACACUUAGUAUGAGUGACUCUGACAAAACUGGACCCCUCGCUCGAGUCCUAAGGGAUUAUUGGCACAGUGGUUUGGAUUCUGUUUGGAUCAGUAGUUAGUUUGGAUCCGUCUGGCUGUUUUUUAUGUAGGACAUUGAGAUACACUCAAUGUUUGACAGGUAUAAUAUCUGAGGUGUUUACAGCUAAGGGUCAUC